UGUCUGGGCAUCGGCGCUGUCUGGGCAUCUGCGCUGCGGCUGGAGGUACGGCUGGUCCUCUGCCUGCUGUCCACUGCCACCUUGGUCUGCUCUUGCCACCCUGGCGCCGCGAACUCUGUGCCGCCUCUCCCUUCACCCUGUCUUGGGACGGCCGGCGCUAAGAAUUCAUGCUAUGACCUUCGAUGCAGCCAGGAGGUGACACCAAACUCGAUCAGAAACCAUGCCACUGGUGAAGAGGUAUAUUGAGCCCUGCCUGGCCCAGUGAGGUUACUAGAGAAUUGGAAGAGACUCAAAUCAGCAUCCUGCACAUGGUUAUCAAACCAUUGUGAAGUCUUAGUAAGUGAUUCCUGGGCAGCCUGAAACCUUGUCAUUGAGUCAAGAGCAACACUAAGACCUACCUGUCACUUAUCCUGAGGCUUCCUGCCCAGUGGGUUCACCAGCAAGCCAGAAUGAAGCAUCAUUGCCCUGGAUGUCCUUGUGAAGCCGUUAGGAAGUCUUGGCUGAAUUUUGAAGGAUAUCUUUGAAAAGUGUUUUAGAGAGUCUACCAGAUUUUCCAUGUGAGUGCAUGUGCAGCAGAAGAGGGGGUCUUCUCAGUGAUUAAGUACUCCGGCCUCUCACUGUUGUGGCCUCUCCCGUUGCGGAGCACAGGCUCCGGACGCGCAGGCUCAGCGACCAUGGCUCACGGGCCUAGCCACUCCAUGGCAUGUGGGAUCUUCCUGGACCGGGGCAUGAACCCAUGUCCCCUGUAUCGGCAGGCGGACUCUCAACCACUGCCCCACCAGGGAAGCCCUACACACUGUUCUAUGUGUGCUUUGACUCAGUUUUAAUGGUCAGGAAGUAAAUUCUAAUAUUAUCCCUUGUUUUCUUCAGCUGCCGUAAUUGAGGUCAGUUAAACUCAGUAACCUUGCUCCCGAAAUGUCACAGAGCAAUUCAAGCAGUUCAUCCCCAGAGUCUCUGCUCUGUAGGUUCUCUCUCAUUAUCUUUUUAUCAAUGAUGCUCUAGUUGGAGGUAAAUUGAGGUCCUUUUCAAUGUCCAGGGGUAACUGUGCUCCUAGGAAGAUAAGGAACUCUUUAAGAUUUGCCCUUUUUUUUAAGUUUAAAUGCUGGACCAGCAAAGUAGAGGCAAUCAUUAGAGUAUAUAGGGUAGGUGUGUUAGGAUUAACUGGGGUACCUUUCUAAUAGAACACCUGGAUAUGACCCUUAUCUCCACAUCUGGUUUUCAAACACACAAUUGAACCAUACAGAAAAGACCUUUUAAUAAAGGCCAUUUCCUCCCAAGGUUGGUUCAUUUUAGAGAUAGCCAAACCUAGAAUUGUUCUAAUUGCUUCUACUUGAUGUAAUAAUCUCACCAACUCUGGUGUUAGUAUCAUUUUUAUUACAUUUCAAAGACAGGUUAUCAAACCAAGAGAAGUUCAAAACUCAUCCAAGCAUGGCCAGACAGUAAAUUGUAGACUCCCUUUUUGAACCCAUGUCUUAUGAUGGAAGAGCCUAAUCUCUUAAUUGCCCCAGGAUACUACAGUGUCAUCUUUGGACUUUCUUAAUUACCCUUGACCUCUCUGGUAUUUCCUCUUGUGAUGUCUCCGUCCUAACAACCUUUAUUAUACACAUGUUUUCGUGAUUUAACCACACUCCAUGGAAGAAGCAUUUUAAAAAAAAUUUUUAUUGGAGUAUAGUUGAUUUACAAUGUUGUGUUAGUUUCAGGUGUACAGCAAAGUGAAUCAAUUAUACAUAUGCAUAUAUCCACUCUUUUUUAGAUUCUUUUUCCGUAUAGGCCAUUACAAGAGUAUUGAAUAGAGUUCCCUGUGCUGUACAGUAGGUCCUUAUUAGUUCUCUAUUUUAUAUAUAGUAGCGUGUAUAUGUCAAUCCCUAUCUCCCAAUUUAUCCCUCCCCCGCCACCCUGAAGAAGCACUUUAGAAUGAGACUUGUUCCAAAUUACUCAAUUGAUUUCCCAAGUAGAGAUCUGCCUUUUGGUUCCUUUAUCUGGCUACCAGGAUAGAGAGAUUCCUGGGAGCCAACCUGCUAUCAAGUCAACUGUUUUACCCCAGAUGUUUCUGUCCAGGUUCAACCUUGGAAAUUCAGGCUCCUCAAUCUUCAGGUCUUCAUCCUCCAUUUGACUUUCCAUCUCAUCCACGGAGGAUUGCUGAGUUAAGUCAGGAAAGAAAACGGUCGUGCACAGAGGGAGAAUUGAUCACCGUCUGUUCUUCAAAGACACUUCUGUGGCAGUUGUUGGGGCUACUAGUGCUCACUGCCCUGACAGAGACCUGCUUCGACAGGGUAUUCAUUCAUCUGCAAUGAGUCCAGUACCUGAAGGAGCAAGACAACAACAAGCAUCCAGGGGGACAACAGUGUGGCCUUCUGAGUGAAGAUAGCAACUGAAAAGAUCAUGGGAUUAGCUGCAUUAGGCUGGGUUUGUUUCUUUUUUGAAAAUAAAAAAUGUUCUCUUUUUGAUGACAAAAGUAACAAGUGGUCAUUGUUAAAAAAUAAAGUGAAAGGUGUAAAUUAAAAAGUAAAUAAUACCUAUAAUCUUAUAACCCAGAAAAUAAUUCAUAACAUUUGCAUGUAUUUCCUUUUACUCUUUAAAAUAAGUGUAUAUAACACAGUUUAAAAAUAAAAUUGACAUUGUAUAUGUUAUUCUCUAACUUUUCUCAUUUGAGAAUAAACAAGCAUUCUCCUAUAUCAUUAGCAUUAUUUAAAAAUACAGUAUUAAGUGUCACAUAAUAUUUCAUAUGGUUCUAACAAAAUUCAUUUACAGUAAGUCCCCCUACAUAUGAACCUUCAAGUUGCAAACUUUCAAAGAUGCGAACGUGUGUUCACAUGUCCAGUCAUGUAAGUUAGUUCACAUGUCUGGUGUACAUUGUCACGUGCAUGCAUCUUCUACAAGUGGUUGUGCUUUUGUGUACUUUACUGUACCGUACUGUAUAGAGCAUAGUAGUACAGUCUCUUUAUUUCAGGCCCAGAAUGUGAGUGAAACUGAAGCUUACCCAGCCGCCUAGCACAGGGAGAUCAGCUCGGUGCUUUGUGACCACCUAGAGGGGUGGGAUAGGGAGGAUGGGAGGGAGACGCAAGAGGGAAGAGAUAUGGGGAUAUAUGUAUAUGUAUAGCUGAUUCACUUUGUUAUAAAGCAGAAACUAACAAACCAUUGUAAAGCAAUUAUACUCCAAUAAAGAUGUUAAAUAAAAAAAGUAUUUUUAAAUUAAGGUUAAAAAAAAUUGAAGCUUAUCUAUUGCUGAUGAUCCUUCAGCUCUACCGUCUCCCACCUCUUCUCCCUCCAGUCAGUAACUCUUCUUGCCUGUUCACUUGAUGCCAGCCCCUGUAUGCCAGCUGUUAUACUGUACUAGUGUACUUUUCAAGGUACUGUACUUUAAGAUUAAAAAUGUUUUCUUUA